AGCAGCCGCGGUAAUUCCAGCUCCAAUAGCGUAUAUUAAAGUUGUUGCAGUUAAAAAGCUCGUAGUUGAAUUUCGAGACCGGUUUAUUGGUCGUGCUUUUGUACGUACUGGUAUUAUUGGUUUCUCCUUUCUGACGAAUCUUAAUGCCAUUAAUUUGGUGUUUUGGGGAAUCAGGACUGUUACUUUGAAAAAAUUAGAGUGUUUAAAGCAGGCUCACGCUUGAAUACAUUAGCAUGGAAUAACGAAAUAGGACGUUUGAUUUUAUUUUGUUGGUUUCUAGGAUCGACGUAAUGAUUAAUAGGGAUAGUUGGGGGCAUUAGUAUUCAAUUGUCAGAGGUGAAAUUCUUGGAUUUAUUGAAGACUAACUACUGCGAAAGCAUUUGUCAAGGAUGUUUUCAUUAAUCAAGAACGAAAGUUAGGGGAUCGAAGACGAUCAGAUACCGUCGUAGUCUUAACCAUAAACUAUGCCGACUAGGGAUCGGAUGAUGUUAAUUUUUUAAUGACUCA
rnacentral:rRNA from 1 species